rnacentral:rRNA from 1 species
GACAUGGCUCAGAUUGAACGCUGGCGGCAUGCUUUACACAUGCAAGUCGAACGGCAGCAUAGAGAGCUUGCUCUCUGAUGGCGAGUGGCGAACGGGUGAGUAAUACAUCGGAACGUGUCCGUUUGUGGGGGACAACCAUCCGAAAGGAUGGCUAAUACCGCAUAAGACCUGAGGGUGAAAGCCGGGGACCGCAAGGCCUGGCGCGAACGGAGCGGCCGAUGACUGAUUAG